rnacentral:tRNA from 1 species
GGAGAGAUGGCCGAGCGGCUGAAGGCGCGCCCCUGCUAAGGGCGUAUACGUUGAUAGCGUAUCGAGGGUUCGAAUCCCUCUCUCUCCGCCA